GUCUACGGUCAUACCAUCCUGAACAUGCCUGAUCUCAGCAGCUAAGCAGGGUUGGGCCUGAUUAGUACUUGGGUGGGAAAUCUUUUAUUUGGAGUAUCUAGUCCUUUCAUACU
rnacentral:rRNA from 1 species